rnacentral:lncRNA from 10 species
CUCCAGCCUGGGCGACAGAGCAAGACUCCAUCUCAAAAAAAACCAACAACAACAACAACAACAACAACAACAAAAAGACCACUAGCUAGACUAAUAAAGAAGAAAAGAGAGAAGAUCCAAAUAAACACAAUUAGAAAUGAUAAAGGAAAUGUUACUACUGACCUCACAGAUAAAAAAACAACCACCAGAGACUACUAUGACCACAUCUACACAUACAGACUAGAAAACCUAAAACAGAUGAAUAAAUUCCUGGACACAUACACCCUCCCAAGACUGAGCAAGGAAGAAAUUGAUUCCCUGAACAGACCAAUAAUGAGCUCCGAAAUUCAAUCAGUAAUAAAUAGCCUACCAACCAAAAAAGGCCAGGACCUGAAGGACUCACAGCUGAAUUCUAUUAGAUGUGCAAAGAAGAGCUGGUACCAUUCCUACAGAAACUAUUCUAAAAAAUUGAGCAGAAAGGACUCCUUCCCAACUCAUUCUAUGAGGCUAGCAUCAUCUUAAUGGUAAACUUUCAAUGACUCUCCACCACCAAGAGGAUGAAUUUCUAUCUCCUUAGAAUGGCAUAUAAAGCCAUUUGUGAUUUGGCCCUGGCUUCCCUCUCCACUCCAGCAGCUGUACUUAAGUACUUGUAGGUCCCUUAGGGAGCCAUAAUUUGUGGCAUUUUUACAUGUUACUUCCUUGGCAUAUAUAUUUUAUUUUAUUUUUGUCAGGCCCACACCACUUAGAUGUUGCUGACUCUAGUAAAGCUUCCCUUACUCCCCAGGUGCUGGGCUAAGUACCCCUAUUCUGGGAACCCUUCUGCUUACCAUAUCACAGCACUUCCGUGACUUCAUAAUCGUCUGUUUACUUGCCAUUUCCUCUAUUAAAUUCUGAGCUCCCUGAUGGGAGUAUUCAUGGUUAGAGUCUCAGUCUCUAUUACGGGCCCUAGUACACUUCAGGAACUCAAAAGCUUUGCUGAUAUAAUGCAAGGUGAUAAAAAAGUAGAAAGACUUGGGAUAAUCUUGAUUUCUGAAGGCAUCAAACGGGAAUUAGAGAAAGCAGCAGGAAAAACGAAGGCCUUUUUAAGUUCCAUGAGAACUACGGUUUGCAAGACUGGUCAAAACAGUACAAUGCAAGCGGCAAGAAUCAGGAAGUGCACAGAAACAAGAAGCUCGGUGCACACUGGGAUCAGGCAAGCAUCUGGGAGAAGACUGUAGCAAGACUGGAUCCUGAGCAGUUCCCAUGUGAUCCAUCAGGCUCUGAACAUGAAUUUUAAUGGGCUCAGAACCACUUCUCUACCCUGAGGUCACAGGCUGUCAGAGUGAAUCUUCCACAAACUGAUUGGAACCUGAAGAAUUUGCUCUGUCAAGAGAGAGUGUUUCAAUUGAAUAUUGCAACUGAAGACAUUCACUCUGCGUUGAUCACCUAUGGAGUGAUCAAAUUUCAACCCUUUGAAGUUUCCUAAAUGAAAGAGGCACUCUGAAUUCAAAGGCUGUUUGAAUGAACUGACUGCUUCAGCACUGUCUUGUAGAUAUAGUCCAUUCAAAUAAAAGACAAAUAUCUGACUGAAUUUUGUUAGCACGUUAAGACAUGUAUUAUAAAAAGGUUUAAGAAGAAAAUAAUGGCCACAAUUCUUCAGAAAACAUGUGAACUAAUGUGACAAAACACUGUGGUGUUGCAAACUCAAGUGCUGCUCUGGCCAAGUCACCUCGCUGAAAUCUCCACUUCCACUUGUGCAACCUACCAAGCCACUCUCUACACAGCUGCCAGAGUGAUUACAAAAACAACGCGGGAUUAUGCUACCCCUGCUUAUCUAAAAUUUGUCAAAAUGCCCGUUACACUUUGAAUAAAAUACAGAUUCCUCUCAGAUCUCAUUUCUUAUCAUGUCUUUCUCAAUCAUUAUGUUCCAGCCUCACUGACCUUCUUUCUGUUCCUGUAAAAUAUUCCUGCCUCAAGGGCGCAGGCCUACGACCUGCAGUUCUCUUUUUCCCACAUGUGACCAGGCUCUCUCUUAGCCAUCAGGUCUCAAAUAAGCUCUUUCCGUUCUGUCUAGGCAUCUUAUCAAAAUCAACCUGUGUAUUAUUAUUCAUUUAUCACAUAAUCUUGUUUUAUUUUCCUCAUAGCACUCUCACUUUCUGAAAUUAUCUUUGUUUAUAUGUUUAAUGCCCUUCUUUUCCACUAGAAUGGAAACUCAAAGAUCAAGAAACUUAUCUGGCCUUUUCACUGUUGAAUUGCCAAAAUUUUGAACAGUGCCUAACAUACAGUAAAGGCUCAAUAAAUAAAUAAAUAAAUGUUCAGCUCUCUUGGCUGUCUCUGCAGUGAUCAAGAAUAUUUUGAUGUCUCUCAAAAGAACUAUAUGCUUAUAGUAGCCU